rnacentral:misc_RNA from 1 species
GAUGAGGAACGUAGUGAAAUGCGAUAAGUAAUGUGAAUUGCAGAAUUCAGUGAAUCAUCGAAUCUUUGAACGCACAUUGCGCCCUCUGGUAUUCCGGGGGGCAUGCCUGUUCGAGCGUCAUUACAACCCUCAAGCUUUGCUUGGUAUUGGACAUUGCCAGUUUCUGGCAGGUCUUAAAAUCAGUGGCGGUGCCAUUUGGCUUCAAGCGUAGUAAUUCUUCUCGCUUUGGAGAUCCAAGUGGUUACUUGCCAAUAACCCCCAAUUUUUUCAGGUUGACCUCGGAUCAGGUAGGGAUACCCGCUGAACUUAAGCAUAUCAAUAAGCGGAGGA